UACGUAGGUGGCAAGCGUUGUCCGGAAUUACUGGGUGUAAAGCGCGCGUAGGCGGUAGGCCAAGUCUGCUGUGAAAUCGCCCGGCUCAACUGGGCGCGGUCGGUGGAAACUGGUCAACUGGAGGACGGUAGAGGCGAGUGGAAUUCCCGGUGUAGUGGUGAAAUGCGUAGAGAUCGGGAGGAACACCAGUGGCGAAGGCGGCUCGCUGGGCCGGACCUGACGCUGAGGCGCGAAGGCCAGGGGAGCAAACGGG
rnacentral:rRNA from 1 species